rnacentral:rRNA from 1 species
GAAUUCACUAGUGAUUUUGGAGGGCAAGUCUGGUGCCAGCAGCCGCGGUAAUUCCAGCUCCAAUAGCGUAUAUUAAAGUUGUUGCAGUUAAAAAGCUCGUAGUUGAAUUUCGGGAUUGACGUGACGGUCGUGCCUUACGGGGUAUGAACUGUCGCCGUUGAUUUCUCACCUUCUGGAGAAGCUCGAUGUCCUUAGUUGGGUGUCUUGCGGAACCAGGACCUUUACCUUGAAAAAAUUAGAGUGUUUAAAGCAGGCAUUUUGCUCGAAUACAUUAGCAUGGAAUAAUAGAAUAGGACGGCAUGGUUCUAUUUUGUUGGUUUCUAGGAUCACCGUAAUGAUUAAUAGGGAUAGUUGGGGGCAUUAGUAUUCAAUUGUCAGAGGUGAAAUUCUUGGAUUUAUUGAAGACUAACUACUGCGAAAGCAUUUGCCAAGGAUGUUUUCAUUAAUCAAGAACGAAAGUUAGGGAAUCGAAGACGAUCAGAUACCGUCGUAGUCUUAACCAUAAACUAUGCCGACUGGGAAUCAGACGAUGUUAAUUUUUUAAUGACUCGUUCGGCGCCUUACGGGAAACAAUCGAAUU